GCCGGGACAAACGGAGGAAGGGGGGACGACGUCAAUCAUCAGCCCAUGUGACCUGGGCUACACACGUGUACAAUGGACGGUACAAAGGGCAGCGAGACCGCGAGGUUUAGCCAUCCCAUAAAACCGUUUCAGUUCGGAUUGUAGGCUGCAACUCGCCUACAGAAGCUGGAAUCGCUAGUAAUCGCGGAUCAGCAUGCCGAGGUGAAUACGUUCCCGGGCCUUGUACACA
rnacentral:rRNA from 1 species